rnacentral:misc_RNA from 1 species
AACGCACGAGACCUGCGGACCUGCGGAGGGAUCAUUAUUGAGUUUUAAAAGGAGAUUUGCCUUUCGGCAUCUCUCUUUUUUCCUCUCUUUUCACCCUUUUGUUAUCAUUUUUCUCAGUUGCUUUGGCAGGUGAUUUGAUCUCCUGCCAAGGGAUUUUUCUAAACACAUUUUUGUUAUCCAAUAAUCGGGAUAUCUCUCGUCUGAUUUCUUAUGGCUUUUGAAUAAGUACAUAAAACUUUU